rnacentral:lncRNA from 1 species
CGCAGACCUCUCAGAACGGGACAUCGUUAUUAUUAUUAAAGUGUCAGCCAAAUGCGAUUGGUCCCAAUUGGCGAUCAGCUCCUUAUGUUGGAGGCUGCUUGUGUCGCUGGGAUAGUGCUGAGCCAGGACUAAGAGCAGAGCUUUGAGCCACCUGCCUGGGGCUCUUCUCACUAGAUGGCAGGACUUUCCUUUCCUUACAAAUAGUCAGCUUUUGAUGAGAAAAUGCCCUCCUAUGUGUGGUCCCUCUUUUUACUUUUCCUUUUGUUGGAUGGACUGGUGGACAUAAAUUGUAUCUGGACCUACCAGAACAGGGCAGGGCAAUUCUUGCCUCUUGGACAUUGCCUCACUUGGCCAGAGCGCUGUUCAUGGACACAAAAAUCCACCAAUUAUCCAACUGUCUACUCAGCUUCUUUGUCUGGAUCUCCCAGAGGGCACCCACACUCACAUGUCCAAAGGUAAGCUUGCCAUCUUCCCCUCCCAAGCUGUCCUCCUCCAGGUUUCCAUGAUCUCUCCAGUUGCACUAACAAGAAACCUGAAGGUCAUCCUUCAUCCCUGACACUGUCUUAUCCCUUAAUCUGGAUAUCGAAUGGAUCACCAAGGCCAGUAAAUUUUAGUUUAUAAAUUCAUCUCCAACCCAUCAUUUUCUCUCAUGUCCACUGCCCCUGCCAUAAUUCAGGCUAUAUCAUAAAAACCCUGGCCACGGGAGCCAUGGGAGCCAGGUCAAGUUCCCUAACUGGUUUUAUGAUCCUACUCUUGCACUCUUCAAUGUAUUCUCUCCAUGUCAAACAGAAUAAUUGAAACACGAAUCUGAUUAAAGCACCAUCCAUCCCUCUCUAGUCAUUUAUGCUAGUAUACUCUCGGCAUUUAUUUUACUUGACAUUCUUGGCAAGUAUAUUACUUGACAUUGUAUUACAUAUGUUUUGUGUAUUGUCUGCCCCCUGCCCCCUGCUGACUAUGAGCUCCAUGAAGGCAGGAACGUUUUUUCUUCACUGUAGAUAAGUGCCUGGCAUAUGCUGGGCAUUCAGUGAGUAUUGUUCAGUGAAUGGCCACACUCCCUUUCAGUGCCUUCCCACUGCUCUCAGGGUCAGGAACAAAUCCGUCUCAUGGCCCAUGGGGCCCUAUAUCCUCUGGCUCUUAUGAUCUCUCUGGUAUUAGCUCCCUCUCCUCCUCUCACCCUUGAGCACUGGGGGAAAGCCAAUUUUACCUUUCUUGAAUAGGUCAGGCUACCCUCUACUUCAGGGCUUUUGCAUAUGCUGCUCACUUGUUUGAAGCCUUUUUUUACCUAGCUAACAGCUACUCUUCAAUCACGUCUAAGCUCUGCAGGGAUGUCUAUGCCACCCUGCCUGGACUAGGCCAAAUUUCCUUCUUCUGUGCCCUUAAUCCAAUUUUCUUUGUAGCAUUCAUCACAGUGUGCAAUUAUAUACCUGUUUAAGGGAUUAUUUGAUUAAUAUCUCUCUGUUUCAGUAGACUAGAGAUCGGCAAACUAUGGUCACAGACCGUAUCCGGGCCCCCACCUGUUUGUACAACUUGCGAAUAUCGUCACACUCAUUUGUUCACGUGCAGUCUCUGGAUGCUUUCAUGCUACAGUGGCAGAGUAUGUGGCCUCACUGAUUGCAAAGCCUAAGAUAUUUACUAUCUGGUCUUUACAGAAAAAUUUUCCCGACCCUUCACUAGACUAUGAGCUCCAUGGAGCUGGGGGCCAUAUCUGUUUUAUUCACUAGAACACAUUGUAAGUGUUCAAUGCAUAUUAAUUUGGUGAAUGAAUGACUUCGAGCAGGCUCAUCUUCUUUUCCUGCUACCUCUCUGGAAGGUAAUAAUAGUCUCCAUUCCAGGUAUAUUCCUAGACUUUUGAUGAUUGGCUUAGUUCUAGGUGUGAGGUAUUUGUUCAUUCAACAAAAGUAUCUACUAUGAGCCAGGCAUUGUUUUAGGUUCCAGGAACAUAACAAUGAAUAAAACUGACAAAAAUCUCUACCCUUUCA